rnacentral:rRNA from 1 species
CUUGUAUGAAUGGCCACACGAGGGUUUUACUGUCUCUUACUCCUAAUCAGUGAAAUUGACCUCCCCGUGAAGAGGCGGGGAUGACACAAUAAGACGAGAAGACCCUAUGGAGCUUUAAUUAAUCAACUCAAAAAGCAUAAAACAAUACCACCAAGGGAUAACAAAACUUUAUAUGAGCUGACAAUUUCGGUUGGGGUGACCUCGGAGUAUAAAAAACCCUCCGAGUGAUUAAAACUUAGGCCUACUAGCCAAAGUACAGUAUCACAUAUUGAUCCAAAAUUUUGAUCAACGGAACAAGUUACCCUAGGGAUAACAGCGCAAUCCUAUUCUAGAGUCCAUAUCGACAAUAGGGUUUACGACCUCGAUGUUGGAUCAGGACAUCCUAAUGGUGCAGCAGCUAUUAAGGGUUCGUUUGUUCAACGAUUAAAGUCCUACGUGAUCUGAGUUCAGACCGGAGUAAUCCAGGUCGGUUUCUAUCUAUUACGCAUUUCUCCCAGUACGAAAGGACAAGAGAAAUAAGGCCAACUUUAAACAAAGCGCCUUCAAACAAUUAGUGACCCUAUCUCAACCUAAUAACCUAGCACAAACAUACCCUGCCCAAGACCAGGGCUUU